rnacentral:rRNA from 1 species
UUCGCAAUGCCCGAAAGGGUGACGAAGCGACGCCACGUGUGGGAAGAAGGCCUUCGGGUUGUAAACCACUGUCGGGAGUUAAGAAAUGUAAGGGUGUUAAUAGCGCCUUUACUUGACAAAGGCUCCGGAGGAAGCCACGGCUAACUCUGUGCCAGCAGCCGCGGUAAUACAGAGGCGGCAAGCGUUGUUCGGAAUUAUUGGGCGUAAAGAGCACGUAGGCGGCUUUGCAAGUCAGUUGUGAAAGCCUUCCGCUUAACGGAAGAACAGCAGCUGAUACUACAGAGCUUGAGUACGGGAGGGGAGAGUGGAACUUCUGGUGGAGCGGUGAAAUGCGUAGAUAUCAGAAGGAACGCCGGCGGCGAAAGCGAUUCUCUGGUCCGAAACUGACGCUGAGUGUGCGAAAGCUAGGGGAUCAAACGGGAUUAGAUACCCCGGUAGUCCUAGCCGUAAACGAUGGGCACUAAGUAGAGGGGUUUU